ACGACCCACGAUCCAAUCCCAUCUUCCCACCUCUAGCGCUCCGCCACUCCUGCCACGCCCCACCGCCGGUAUCCGCCCCGCUGCCGCGCGCCGCCAACCCCGCCCCUACCACUACCCCAAGUCCCCACCCUCACAGCCUUCCACCGCCAGCGACACUCCACGCUGCGGCCAUUGCCGGCUCCCCCAGCCCCUGCUACCACGGCGCCGUCGGGAAUCCUCCCCGCCACCUGUUGGAACCGCCCGCCUGGCUCCCGCUGUGAACAUCACCGCCACCUCUCUAUCGAUUCCCGCCCCAGUGGAUGGUCUCCUCCACCUGCGCUCGCAUCCUCAGACUUUGACGAAAAACAAGCCGGCAUCCUGCAGUUCGCCGGUGUUUCGUCAGCCGGUCCUACGCUUUCAGGUGUCUGAGGCAGGAAGGGUUAUUAGAAUCCAUGAGGAGCAGCAAGAUGCAGCAACCAUUGCCGGCCUAGCUGCUUAUAGGGACAACCACACGGUGUAUUAGUGUCUCGAUCUAAUUCAUUUAACCACACAUAUCAUCCAUGGAUUGGAGAGAGUGAGAGGCCCAAGAUAAUCCACAGGUAUAAUGGUGCAAUUCACACAAAUGAACAAGCUUAACAAGAUUGCGUGCAAGGUACUCAAAUGAUUUGAAUUUCAAGCUCUUCUUUUUUCUUGGUUACCAGUCUGCAGUAGAUGAUAAAUAUUGGUGCUCACUUUCUCCACAAUAAUCAGAUUUUUACAGAAAACUAAUAGCUGGUUUCAUUGAACAGAUCUUGCACGGUUUGCUAUUUAUCUAAUAGUUAGUUUGGUAUGUCUUUGAGAAACAGUAGGCAUUUUUACUAGAUGUAUUUUAUUUUUGUGUUUUUGAUAAUGUACACAACCAUGGCAGUUUCUUCUGGAAUAUUGUUGCUUUCACAAUAAUAAGUUUGAUAACGGUCAUAAGCAUGGCAUUCUUACUAUGAUGCAACAAUGUGCAGCUAGCUAGGUGUAGCUAAUACAAUAAGUUUGCUUUUCACUUCAGAAUUCAGAGGAACUCAGCGUUUGUUUUAUAGUUCAAACCAAUUACUUGUAUAUUCCAAAAUGAUAUUGUCUCGUGGUACUAGGUUAUCAAAAUAUAAUCUUCACCAUGGCCAAAGGAAAAUUUCAUUCAGGGUAUUAGUUUGUUUCAUCCACCAAGACAAACAGCUGGUGGUAUAUGGUGAUGAGAUGGGCUUCUUCAGCUCUUUAUUUGGCAGUUCUUUUUUCGAUUCCCCUCUGUUGUCAUGAAAUUUCAGCAAUACAGAUUUGUGAUCUUGUCAGGUAAUCAUGCUGAUUGAGAAAGAAAUGGUACCCCAGGACUAUCUAUUGUACUAAUAUUCAGCAAAAAUGUAUGUAUGUAUCUCUUUCAGGUCUGUGCCACUCUAUUUCUUUGAAUGAUAUUCCGACAAUAUGUGCAAAAGGAAGAUGCCCAUACAGACUAAAUUCUCUUUCGCAGGUUUAAUAAAAUGGUCUUCUGUGGGUUACAAACCAAAGCUUGCUUGCUUGCAUACACUCUGGUGCUCCAGUUAAAGAUGGAAAGCUAUAACGUACUGUGUUGAGUAACCAUCAGUUGCUGAAUCCAUUCUCUUGUGAAUACUACUACUGUAUCUCUCUCAUCUCUUGUGUUGAGUGAGCGCUUGCGAUGGGACAUAAAAGAACAAAGAGCACAAGAAGUGUACAAAUGAAGUAACAAUGAGCUAAUGUAGAGCGGCCGACGAUCAGAUGAUUUCGGGUCCGUGCUAGCUAUUUCUCAUUUUGAAGCUAUUCCUUCAGGACACAUGAUUGCACUACAUUACAAGUUGAAAAAAUGUGCAAAGUUGAAGUUGGUACUAAAGAGGAUUGCUCUUUUUGAUCCGCAUUAUGUGACAUUCAUAUUUCAGUCAUAAUAUGUGCCAUUCAAGUAGAAACACAAACUAGGACAUGCAAGAUUUGUUUCUCCCGCUGCAACGCACGGGCCCUUUUGCUAUCUUUCCGUAAUCUAUCCCUAAUAAUAAAGUGCGGAUUGAGUCCU